rnacentral:misc_RNA from 1 species
UCCCCGUUAUCCGAGGCAGUCUCCCAAGAGUGCUUCCCUUGCGGGAGUGGCAACAUAGGAUAAGGGUUGCGCUCGUUGCGGGACUUAACCCAACAUCUCACGACACGAGCUGACGACAGCCAUACAGCACCUCUGCUGGCAACCGACUUAACGGUUUGUCUUCUGUUUCCAGAAUACUACUACCAGCACUUCAAGCCCAGGUAAGGUUCUUCGCGUUGCGUCGAAUUAAACCACAUGCUCCACCGCUUGUGCGGGCCCCCGUCAAUUCCUUUGGGUUUCAACCUUGCGGCCGUACUCCCCAGGCGGCUCACUUAAUGCGUUAGCGUCGGCGCGGAAGGGGUCGAUACCUCCCACACCUAGUGAGCAUCGUUUAUGGCUAGGACUAC